CAAAUAAACAAGGUGCAGACAGCUGUGGAUUAAUGGUGCAAACCUAUACCAACUGUAAGACCUGCGCCGAGGAGAAGGUUGUCUGCGCCGGGGGCCCUCCAAAAAAUCAAGACUACUUGGAGAGAUGCAGCUGCCUGUGCACCUCCAACAGAUGUUUCGAUCUGAAAACUGGACGGUCCUGCUCUCCAUGUAAAGAUCACAAGUCU